CGGCGCGGCGUCCCUGCCCGGUUCGGCCCCUGAGGGGACACGGCUGAGCCCGUCAGAAAUAGCCCCUCAGUAAUGACCGCUAGCACGUUCACACCGUGCUCAGCACAGCACCCCGGACACCCUGCAACGCAGAAGGCAAGCUCAUUUAAAAAGAAAGGAUCAUAGUAGUCUUAAGAGAUGGCUCUGCCACAUUACACGGAUCAAGAACACUCAAGCAAAUCCAGGGUCUACUCACAUCAAUUUUUAAUGACACUUUCUCCAGAAUUUCUUUGCCACUUCUGAAUUUACCCUGUCGCAGAAAUCAUUAGGAAAUGUCACAUUGAGAGGCCACUGGCCCAGACAUCUCUAUUCCAUCUGUGCACAGCAAUAAUGAGAUAGGUAAUGACUUAUUACUACAUAUAUAAAUAUAUAUAAAGUAAUGAGACCUCCAAAUCAGAGGUAAAUUAGUGACUCAUGAAUUUUUUUCUUGAUAGGGGUCACCAAAUUCUAGCAAAAUUACUCUUACUUUUAGAAGGAAGUGCCAUUGAAAGGUGAAUUCCCUCCAAUACUGUAUCUUACCACAAAGUGAUUCAAGUUUUGAAAUAAUUUUUAUUUAAGUAUGACAUUCCAACUUUUCAGGUUUUUAAAUAUUAAAGUAUAUUACAUUAUAUUAUAGAUUUCAAAAAAGUUAAGUUUGACAAAACAUCCAUAGCUUUGGGACCACUUUGCUUUUUGUAAACAUCCACCUCACCACUAAAUGAUGAGCUGCAGGAAGGCAGAGGGGAAUAAUUCUUUAGUACACUUCUUUCUCAAGCUGCAUAUCUUUAGAGACAGAACAACUGCUGUGCCUGUAUACUCAUUCACAACAACUUAUACUAGAGAAAUAAACCAUUUAUAAACACAUACACAUUUCCAACAGAAAUCAUACUACUGCAGCAUGAAACUGUAGAAUCCUUGGCUACCAGGAAACACAAUAACAAUCCCAUCAUUUGGUAAAUGGCAUAUACAGAGGAACAGCUACUCUGAACUGCACUAUACACACAGGAAGCCACAUGACACAGAACUACAAUACCUUCAACAAAGAAUAUUAUUUUACUGAGACUAAUCCUUCUAUCAAUUAGGAAAAAAUGGAAAUGAGAUUACCAGAAUGCUUCCUGUUUAGCUUAGGACACAUGCCAACCCAGUAAAAAUCAGAUUAGCAUGGUCAUAGAUCACACCACAGAAGUAUCAGAAGCAAACAGGCUGCAUGUACUGACUUGAACUUUACAUUAACCUGUGUCAACAUCAAAACUGAAGCAGGAGGUAAGACAGCCCCAAAGAAAGUGCAUUUGUCUUCUGCUUUCAAAGCAAGAUCCAAACCUGAUGGAGUGGAUGCAAGAUAACUUGCAUUGGUAUUGUCUGUUGUGUGAAUAAAUCCUGCCUAUCAAUCUCCUUGAAACUCUGAUACAGAAACUACUGCAACAAAAGGACUUAGAUCUUGAGAUGAAAGUAUCUGAACUGCAGAUUUAAGUAAACAUCCAGGGAGAUGCACCUGACACCCAUGUGCUCUCAGUCUCUGCAGGUAUCACUGGAGACAGUGGAUUAACUGUUACUUGGUAAGUCUUGUCCAGGGAAUGUCUCACAACUGCUGUCUAUCAAUGUCAUGUAAUAAUCUGAUUGAACAUAACUUUUUUUAAAAUAAAGUAACUGCGUAACAUUAAAUAUAA